UCAUUUAUUGCACUUUUUUUUUAUAUUGACCCAAAAAAAAACCCGAAAUUUACAAACGUCAAAUGUUUUAAAUUCGUGUACGAUCUCGGUUAUCAAAUCUUUACGUUUCUUUAAAAUUAAAGACAAGGAAUGACCCGAAUGUUACCAAACGAGCCCUUUAAAUUUUCAUUUGUGAAAUGACCUGAAUGUUACCAAACGAGCCCUUUAAGUUUUCAUUUGUGGAACGAUCAGAAUGUUACUAAAAAACGAGCCCUUUAAGUUUUCAUUUGUGGAACGACCAGAAUGUUACAAAAAACGAGCCCUUUAAUUUUCAUUUGUGGAACGACCAGAAUGUUACCAAAAAAUGAGCCCUUUAAGUUUUCAUUAGUGGAACGACCAGAAUGUUACCAAAAAACGAGCCCUUUAAGUUUUCAUUUGUAGAACGACCAGAAUGUUAUCAAACGAGCCCUUUGAGUUUUCAUUGUUCCAAAAUGUUACCAAACGAGCCCUUUAAGUUUUCAUCUAUGGAACGACCAGAAUGUUACCAAAAACGAGCCCUUUAAGUUUUCAUUUGUAGAACGACCAGAAUGUUAC